rnacentral:rRNA from 1 species
GACGUAGGGCGCGAGCGUUGUCCGGAUUUAUUGGGCGUAAAGCGCUCGUAGGCGGCUUGUCGCGUCGAAUGUGAAAACUCGGGGCUCAACUCCGAGCUUGCAUUCGAUACGGGCAGGCUAGAGUUCGGUAGGGGAGACUGGAAUUCCUGGUGUAGCGGUGAAAUGCGCAGAUAUCAGGAGGAACACCGAUGGCGAAGGCAGGUCUCUGGGCCGAUACUGACGCUGAGGAGCGAAAGUGUGGGGAGCGAACAGG